CUCAGCUGGGCUUUUCUGUAACAAAGACACAGAAGUCCUUACCCAGGCCACAAACCCCACUGAUCCACACAAGUGGUAUUCUGCUAGGGAGAUUGCAGGAGAACUUGUUGGUUUCUGUGGAGCACAAAAGGAACUGUGGGAAAGUGGUGAAGGACUUUCAUCAGACAAAAGGAUUAUCCUGUUUUCUGCAGUAAAGCAGGUGGCUGCCAGCUGAAACAGUGAACGAAAAAGUAGAAAAAGCUGCUUGUAAAAUGACUUUCCUAUCACAUUUACUCAGGAGAAUUCUGUGGAAGAUGCAAAAAUAAAGGCUACUAAAGAAUUGGCUCUGCAAGUAUGUCAGGCUGAAGCUGCACACCUGUGAGCACAGAAGUACGACCUUUAAUACCAGAUAUCUGAGUUUGGAAUUCAAAGUACAACUGAGGAAGAAAACCUAAAUCCAGUUACUUAAAUCACUUGAAUAUUUCCAACAUUGUUAUAUAAGAAUCUCACAUUUAAAAGGAUUUAAUCUAAGAAGAAUGUUUGUAAAAUGAUGUUUCCUAUUUAACAUCUAACAUAAAUGAGCAUUAUCUCACAAAACCAGCCAGACACUAUGAAUCUCUGCAAG